AUUGAACGCUGGCGGCAGGCUUAACACAUGCAAGUCGAACGAGUGGCGGACGGGUGAGUAAUGUCUGGGAAACUGCCUGAUGGAGGGGGAUAACUACUGGAAACGGUAGAUAAUACCGCAUACCAUCAGAUGUGCCCAGAUGGGAUUAGCUAGUAGGUGGGGUAAUGGCUCACCUAGGCGACGAUCCCUAGCGGGUCUGAGAGGAUGACCAGCCACACUGGAACUGGGCCACGGUCCAGACUCCUACGGGAGGCAGCAGUGGGGAAUAUUGCACAAUGGGCGCAAGCCUGAUGCAGCAAUGCCGCUUGUGUGAAGAAGGCCUUCGGGUUGUAAAGCACUUUCAUCGGGGAGGCGUUACCCGCAGAAGAAGCACCGGCUAACUCCGUGCCAGCAGCCGCGGUAAUUC
rnacentral:rRNA from 1 species